UACGAAGGGGGCUAGCGUUGUUCGGAAUCACUGGGCGUAAAGCGCACGUAGGCGGAUUUUUAAGUCAGGGGUGAAAUCCCGAGGCUCAACCUCGGAACUGCCUUUGAUACUGGAGAUCUUGAGUCCGGAAGAGGUAAGUGGAACUGCGAGUGUAGAGGUGAAAUUCGUAGAUAUUCGCAAGAACACUAGUGGCGAAGGCGGCUUACUGGUCCGGAACUGACGCUGAGGUGCGAAAGCGUGGGGAGCAAACAGG
rnacentral:rRNA from 1 species